UACAGAGGUGUCAAGCGUUGUUCGGAUUUAUUGGGCGUAAAGGGUGCGUAGGCGGCGCGGUAAGUCGGGUGUGAAAUCUUGGAGCUUAACUCCGAAACUGCAUUCGAUACUGCCGUGCUUGAGGACUGGAGAGGAGACUGGAAUUUACGGUGUAGCGGUGAAAUGCGUAGAUAUCGUAAGGAAGACCAGUGGCGAAGGCGGGUCUCUGGACAGUUCCUGACGCUGAGGCACGAAGGCCAGGGGAGCAAACGGG
rnacentral:rRNA from 1 species